GCUUGGGCUCUAGUCCUCCUGCCUGGGAUAGUGGGGCUUGGGCGGGCUCAUGCUUUGGUCCCCACUCCUGGGGUCGUGUAGUAAUUUUUGUUGUCAGAAGGGGGUCACGAUGCAAUGAAGUUU